CGAAAGCCUGACGGAGCAACGCCGCGUGUGGGAAGAAGGCUCUUGGGCUGUCAACCACUUUUCUCAGGGAAGAAGUUCUGACGGUACCUGAGGAAUCAGCCUCGGCUAACUCCGUGCCAGCAGCCGCGGUAAUACGGAGGAGGCAAGCGUUAUUCGGAAUUAUUGGGCGUAAAGCGUCCGCAGGGGGCUCAUCAAGUCUGCUGUCAAAGGUCGGAGCUCAACUCCGGUUCGGCAGUGGAAACUGGUGAGCUAGAGGGCGGCAGGGGCAGAAGGAAUUCCCGGUGUAGCGGUGAAAUGCGUAGAUAUCGGGAAGAACACCAGAGGCGAAAGCGUUCUGCUGGGCCGCACCUGACCCUGAGGGACGAAAGCCAGGGGAGCG
rnacentral:rRNA from 1 species